rnacentral:lncRNA from 1 species
CCACGAUCGACCUCUUUCGCUGAAGUCAGGAGUGACAGCAAUUAACUCCUCCGCUGCACCGUCCCCAGGGCCAGAUGCCACGUGAGAGACCCCAGGCUGGAGCGAGAACCUACUUUGGGAGGAUUGAAAGCUACAAAGGACGUUUGGGUGACCUCCCCACAACACAAGGUGGGGUGGGGGGUUUCAACCCACACUGCCCCAUCUUGAAUCGCCAUGGAUGACCAAGUAGUUGAAACACGACGGGGGACUUAGGUGCCAGUCCUUCUAGGCAGAAGGGCCCUCUUGGGAGAAGAAAGUGUUAUUUCCUUUUUGUAUUUUCACUUGAAAAAAAACUGAGAAGAGUGUGACUAGUCGAUGAUAUUUUGACCAUACAGCUGUUGAGCACUUCUGAGGAAGAGGAACAUGGAAGAGACAUUUGUUGAGUACCUAUUACAUGCCAGGCAAUUCCCAUACAUAUUUUACUUAAUCUUCACAACCGCCCAGAGAAAGAGAUCUCUUUUAUCCUUAUUUUAUGGACAUGACAAAACUGAAUAGAAGGCCCUAGUUUACAAACUCCAGGGGCUCCGCUCCAUUUGCUAUCAGCUAAGCAGACUUGGAGCGUGGACCCCUAUUUCUGCUUCUCCCGGGACACUGUAAAUCUCUCCAUUUGCCAUCAGUCUGGAGCUGUGAGCAUGCAGAUGAAAGGCGUUGUGGAUCUGUGAACUACCGUAGCUCUACCUUCGGAGGAACUGACUUUCAGCUUUCAGCCACAUGCAUGAGAGGGGCUGAUUCCAUCUGUCGACCUGUCAGGCUGCCUCUCUUUUGGGCUUCUUUCUUCCCUUCUUGGAGUUUCUUUAAUAAAACAUUUCACUCCCUUGAAAA